CGCGGCCAUGGCGCGGGCGCCGUGGACGCCGUCACCGUCCUGGGUGUAGCGGGCGUCGAACUCGGCCAGUUCGGCGGCGGCGGCCGGGUC
rnacentral:tRNA from 1 species